CAGUCGCCACGGGAAUACGUAGGUGGCAAGCGUUGUCCGGAAUUAUUGGGUGUAAAGGGCUCGCAGGCGGUUUCUUAAGUCUGAUGUGAAAGCCCCCGGCUCAACCGGGGAGGGUCAUUGGAAACUGGGAAACUUGAGUGCAGAAGAGGAGGGUGGAAUUCCACGUGUAGCGGUGAAAUGCGUAGAGAUGUGGAGGAACACCAGUGGCGAAGGCGACUCUCUGGUCCGUAACUGACGCUGAGGAACGAAAGCGUGGGGAGCGAACAGGAUUAGAUACCCCGGUAGUCCCUGUCUCUUAUAC
rnacentral:rRNA from 1 species